UACGAAGGGGGCUAGCGUUGCUCGGAAUCACUGGGCGUAAAGCGCACGUAGGCGGAUCGCUAAGUCAGGGGUGAAAUCCUGGAGCUCAACUCCAGAACUGCCUUUGAUACUGGCAAUCUCGAGUCCGGGAGAGGUGAGUGGAACUGCGAGUGUAGAGGUGAAAAUUCGUAGAUAUUCGCAAGAACACCAGUGGCGAAGGCGGCUCACUGGCCCGGUACUGACGCUGAGGUGCGAAAGCGUGGGGGAGCAAACAGGG
rnacentral:rRNA from 1 species